rnacentral:rRNA from 1 species
CAGCCGCCACGGUAAAACGAAGGGUGCAAGCGUUACUCGGAAUUACUGGGCGUAAAGCGUGCGUAGGUGGUGGUUUAAGUCCGUUGUGAAAGCCCUGGGCUCAACCUGGGAAUUGCAGUGGAUACUGGGUCACUAGAGUGUGGUAGAGGAUAGUGGAAUUUCCGGUGUAGCAGUGAAAUGCGUAGAGAUCGGAAGGAACAUCUGUGGCGAAGGCGACUAUCUGGGCCAACACUGACACUGAGGCACGAAAGCGUGGGGAGCAAACAGGAUUAGAUACCCCGGUAGUCCCUGUCUCUUAUAC